rnacentral:tRNA from 1 species
UGUUUUGUGGCUUAGUUGGUUGAAGCGCCGGUCUAGCGAAUACGGAGUCGUGGGUUCGAAUCUUACCAGAUUCA